AAUGAUUAGAUAAUUAUAAAUUA
rnacentral:snRNA from 1 species